rnacentral:rRNA from 1 species
UACGUAGGGUGCAAGCGUUAAUCGGAAUUACUGGGCGUAAAGCGUGCGCAGGCGGUUGUGCAAGACAGAUGUGAAAUCCCCGGGCUUAACCUGGGAAUUGCAUUUGUGACUGCACGGCUAGAGUGUGUCAGAGGGGGGUAGAAUUCCACGUGUAGCAGUGAAAUGCGUAGAUAUGCGGAGGAACACCGAUGGCGAAGGCAAUCCCCUGGGCCUGCACUGACGCUCAUGCACGAAAGCGUGGGGAGCAAACAGG